UGCUAACAAUUAAUCUACACAUUUAAUUAUUUAUAGUAUAUACCAAGCUAUCUUCUCCCUCUAACUUGUAAAGAAAGAAAAUUUUUCAAUUUUUCUUAUUUUUAUCGUUUUGGUAGUCUCUCCUGUUCUGAAUGGCUCCUUUUCUGCUCAGUUGUGGGUUCAUCCUAUCAUUAUUGUGUGAGAUAUAAAUAAGCUUUUAUGUUGUGCUUUAUCGGCAGAUUGAAGCUUUUGGAAGGUUUCAUUUCUUGAUGUGCUUGUGUUUAGGGUUUCUUGGUUUUGGUUAUUGGACUAUGAAUGGCAAUGGAGCAAAUUAGGGGUAAGAAAAGUUUCCCCAAUUCUCACUCUAAAGGAGUUCAGGGUUAAGACAAGAACUUCUUCGUCGAAUAUUUGUGCGAGGUUUGGUAAGAUAGUUAUAUGCUCUCAGGAGUUUUCUGGUUUCACUGUAAACCGAAUGCUAAUGGCAAGGAUAAAUGAAGCAUUUCAAACUCUUUAUAAAGGAUUGUCAACAAAGCCGGACAUUAAAUUCAGGAAUGAAGUUAGGAACAAACCAUCCAAUGGGUCCUUCACAAAAAAGGGGAGGAUUGUGCAGCUUUAAGGAAUGAACUUUGCAGAAUUGUUUUAUCAUAUGUUCAAAGUUCUUGAUGCUUUGGUAAUAUUCCUCAGCUUUAUUCUCUGAUGCUGAGUGGGAUUCUUGCCUAUGCUAUUUGGAGAAACGAUAGCUAUCGACUCCAAUAUGCGGUUGAAUUUCACAGGCUCAUAGUGUGAAGAUUUAGAAAAAUCAGUUGUUUAGAAUGGAUCAGUUGUAGAAUGGAUCUCAAAAGAACAAACACAGAAAUUUUUACAAGAAAUACAAACAUAACCUACUUAACCAU
rnacentral:misc_RNA from 1 species